rnacentral:ncRNA from 1 species
ACGGUGGAAAAAUUUGGCUGCUUGCAACCACUUGAAAAAAUGCUAAAAUAG